rnacentral:rRNA from 2 species
AGACCCGAAACCCGGUGAUCUAGCCAUGGGCAGGUUGAAGGUUGGGUAACACUAACUGGAGGACCGAACCGACUAAUGUUGAAAAAUUAGCGGAUGACCUGUGGCUGGGGGUGAAAGGCCAAUCAAACCGGGAGAUAGCUGGUUCUCCCCGAAAGCUAUUUAGGUAGCGCCUCGUGAAUUCAUCUCCGGGGGUAGAGCACUGUUUCGGCUAGGGGGCCAUCCCGGCUUACCAACCCGAUGCAAACUGCGAAUACCGGAGAAUGUUAUCACGGGAGACACACGGCGGGUGCUAACGUCCGUCGUGAAGAGGGAAACAACCCAGACCGCCAGCUAAGGUCCCAAAGUCAUGGUUAAGUGGGAAACGAUGUGGGAAGGCCCAGACAGCCAGGAUGUUGGCUUAGAAGCAGCCAUCAUUUAAAGAAAGCGUAAUAGCUCACUGGUCGAGUCGGCCUGCGCGGAAGAUGUAACGGGGCUAAACCAUGCACCGAAGCUGCGGCAGCGAACGUAUCACCCAAGACAACUUUACGGAGUUGACGAUUGACGGAGCGAAGCGACGUCAAAGCGUUCAUUAAAGUCGAGUUGGCUUAGGGAUACGUUCGUUGGGUAGGGGAGCGUUCUGUAAGCCUGUGAAGGUGUGUCGUGAGGCAUGCUGGAGGUAUCAGAAGUGCGAAUGCUGACAUAAGUAACGAUAAAGCGGGUGAAAAGCCCGCUCGCCGGAAGACCAAGGGUUCCUGUCCAACGUUAAUCGGGGCAGGGUGAGUCGACCCCUAAGGCGAGGCCGAAAGGCGUAGUCGAUGGGAAACGGGUUAAUAUUCCCGUACUUGGUGUUACUGCGAAGGGGGGACGGAGAAGGCUAUG